UCAGGACGGGCUUUGGAAGGUGCCUUGUGGGCUUCUCUGGGUCAAGAGGAAGAAGUCAUUAGCCCUGUGAUGUACAGACCCUUUCCACAAUGUUGGAGAGAAAGCCAGGCCUUGAGUCUGCACCUACAUAUUCUUACAGCUUCUCAGAGUCCUUUGGACAGUGACUGAGGAGACAAACCAUGCAGGAAACAUUU